AGGCACGCCCAAGACAUCUAGCCAUGCCACACCCACAAGGGCUCUCAGCAGUGAUUAACAUUAAAAAUGAACGUAAGUUUGACUUAGUCAAUGAAUAUAGAACCGGCCAAUCUGGUGCCAGCUGCCGCGGUUACACCACGUGGCUCAAAUUGAUUCGGCGUAAAGCGUGAUUAAAGUGGGGUUAAACCUGAACUAAACUGUAAUACGCUUUUUCAUGGGAGAAUCAACCUCGAAAGUUACCCCAACCCACCAACUUGAACCCACGAUAAUUAAGACACAAACUGGGAUUAGAUACCCCACUAUGCUUAAUCAUAAACUUUUACUUACCACGCCAGGGAACUACGAGCAAAGCUUAAAACCCAAAGGACUUGACGGUACCCCAUAUCCCUCUAGAGGAGCCUGUCCUAUAACCGAUACCCCCCGUUAAACCUCACCACUUUUUGCAGCCUGUAUACUUCCGUCGCCAGCUUACCGCAUGAGUGAGUAAGCUUAAUGUCAAUACGUCAGGUCAAAGUGCAGCAAAUAAAGUGGCAAGAGAUGGGCUACACUUUCUAUUCUAGAAGACACGGAAGACUACAUGAAAUAGAAGGCGGAUUUAGCAGUAAGACGAAAAUAGAGAAUUCCUCUUAACAUGGUACUGGAGUAUGUACACACCGCCCGUCACCCUCUC
rnacentral:rRNA from 1 species